CGGGGUGUGGCGCAGUUGGCUAGCGCGCUACGUUCGGGACGUAGAGGCCGGGAGUUCGAGUCUCCCCACCCCGA
rnacentral:tRNA from 2 species